rnacentral:rRNA from 1 species
GGAAUAUUGGUCAAUGGAGGCAACUCUGAACCAGCCAUGCCGCGUGCAGGAAGACUGCCCUAUGGGUUGUAAACUGCUUUUAUCCGGGAAUAAACCACGAUACGUGUAUUGUGCUGAAUGUACCGGAAGAAUAAGGAUCGGCUAACUCCGUGCCAGCAGCCGCGGUACUACGGAGGAUCCAAGCGUUAUCCGGAUUUAUUGGGUUUAAAGGGUGCGUAGGCGGCCUAUUAAGUCAGGGGUGAAAGACGGUAGCUCAACUAUCGCAGUGCCUUUGAUACUGAUGGGCUUGAAUGAACUAGAGGUAGGCGGAAUGAGACAAGUAGCGGUGAAAUGCAUAGAUAUGUCUCAGAACACCGAUUGCGAAGGCAGCUUACUAUGGUUUAAUUGACGCUGAGGCACGAAAGCGUGGGGAUCAAACA